rnacentral:rRNA from 1 species
GACGAACGCUGGCGGCGUGCUUAACACAUGCAAGUCGAACGGUGAAGCGCCUUCCUUUUUGGUGGGUGUGGAUGAGUGGCGAACGGGUGAGUAACACGUGAGUAACCUGCCCCCUUCUUCUGGAUAACCGCAUGAAAGUGUGGCUAAUACGGGAUAUUCUGGGUCUGUCGCAUGAUGGGUCUGGGAAAGAUAUUGUUUCGGUGGGGGCUGGGCUCGCGGCCUAUCAGCUUGUUGGUGGGGUGAUGGCCUACCAAGGCGGUGACGGGUAGCCGGCCUGAGAGGGUGGACGGUCACACUGGGACUGAGACACGGCCCAGACUCCUACGGGAGGCAGCAGUGGGGAAUAUUGCACAAUGGGCGCAAGCCUGAUGCAGCGACGCCGCGUGAGGGAUGGAGGCCUGCGGGUGGUGAACCUCUUUCGCCAGUGAAGCAGGCCUGCCUCGUUUGUGGGUGGGUUGACGGUAGCUGGAUAAGAAGCGCCGGCUAACUACGUG